rnacentral:lncRNA from 1 species
CCAUGUUGAAAUUUUUCAUAAAGAAAAUAAUCUGAAAGUAGAGCCUGAGAUGAAGUUAAAAAAGAAAGAAAGGAAACAAUCACACUCUUGUAUUUGUAAUGGAAGUUUUGUACACUGGGUGUUCCUAAACCAUGGUACACCUGGGAUACUUCCCCUACAGGGCAGCCUCUCUACAGGAGGGCACCCACAUCCCAAACACAACAAUUCAAUGCUUUAUAUCAUUCUUUAUUUUAAAAGUGCUUUACCAACAUAUACUAAUCUUCACAACAUUCAAGGGAGGUAGAUAAGUAUUACACCACUUUCACAGAUGGAGAAACUGAGGCAGAGAUUAGUAAGUUGUAUUGAGGGGCAUAAUAUACGGCACAAUUAGGAAAAGAAUUUGUUGCAGUCAUGGAUCACUGAAGACCUUUCUCAUGAUUUCUGAGUCCCAUCAACACAAAAAGCAGCAGAUGCAGCAUGGAAGCAGGUCAUCACUAGUUUGGCUAGUCUAAGGUUAAACAUUACCUUGUUGAUACCAGAUGUUGAAUAUGCUGUCCUUUGGCAAGCAUCCCCCUCAAACGCAUUCUUACAUGCUUCCACCUCUAAACAGGAGAGGGGAAGCUGUUGUGAGUGCAGCAGGAGGGGGUGGAGAAACAGCGCUGGGAAGGAAGAUGACAGAAGAGAAAACAUGAACUGAUAUAAAAGCGAGGGCAAGGACAAACAAGAGGACCCUCUGGGAACCAGUCCAACAGAAAGGAAAGCCACAGCAGAAAAGAAGUAUCAUUUGAAAAGCUCAGACAUCCAGAAAUGCUACUCAAAGUGUAAUUCUUAGCAAUGACAUUCAAAGCCACUCCUCCUGGCUUUGCCAAAUAUAAUCAUCAGGUCCUUCUGACAUUCCCAGGAAGCAGAAUCAUUCCUUUCCCUGGUCCAGUCCAAGUGCUGAUGUAAUUGACCUGACACUGCAGAGACUGUUGACAACUCAAAUGUACCCUCCCACCAUGCCACCUCUCUUCCUCUGCACAUCUAGUCUCUUCAAAACAAAGCAAAACAAUGCAUUUAAUAUUCUCCCUGCAAAAAUCCUAAGACAUUUCUGGAGAUUUUGAUGCAUAAUAAUGUAGGAUUCCAUGCAUGAAUUUUUAUAAAAGGGGCACGAUGUGUAUUAACAGCCCCUCUCAGCGAAUGCUUGUUUAUACAACAUGGAACAUUUUUUAAAAUUGUGGAUACCAACUGUCUAGAGAAAAAUUGGAGCGCAAGGGAAAGAAAUAACUUCUCUUGAUCUUUCUAGUGGGAAGCAAAUAUAAGAGAUGGUGACUGACAUCCCACCAGCUGCAAUGGAGGUACUGAUGGCAGACGAAGCACCAAAUGAGUAGGUGAACAAGGACCCAGCAGGGAGGGUCUAAGUCAGAUGAACAGGUGGAAGCAGCAGCCCAGAGAGCUGGAGAGGCAGAAGUCAGGGAAAAGACAUAGUAGCCAAAGAGGAAAUGCAUGGAGGUGAUGGUGUUUGAGGUCUAGGCCUUCCUAGGACAGGUUGGAGCCCGAAAUGCAUCCUUUCUUCCUUUAUUUCAAUCAGCAGCAUCAUUCUUUCAGACAUGUAGCUUUAAAAUCUUAUCCCUUCUCUCCAACAAACAAGGUCAACUGCCAAGCCUUACUGAUUCCACUUUGGCAAUGCCCUUCACACUGAUCUCCCUCGUGGGUUUGUUUGUUUGUUUGUUUGUUUGGAGACGGAGUUUCACUCUUGUUACCCAGGCUGGAGUGCAAUGGUGUGAUCUUGGCUCACUACAACGUCCACCUCCUGGGUUCAAGCAAUUCUCUUGCCUCAGCCUCCCAAGUAGCUAGGAUUACAGGCGCCUGCCACCACGUCUGGCUAUCUUUUUGUAUUUUUAGUAUAGACGGGGUUUCACCAUGUUGGCCAGGCUGCUCGCGAACUCCUGACCUCAGGGACAAACCCUCCUACGUAUCCCCUACUCCAGUCUUCUCUCCACUCAGUUCUUUCUUCUACUCUUCUUCCUGGAGUACAGUUCUGAUCACAUUACUGCCCAAACUCAGAAAUUCCCCAUGCUGUCACUCCCUCUCAAUUAUGUGUCUCAUUACCUUGAAUCUUCAACAGGACCUUGCAUCUAGUGAAGUUCCUCUGGUUUCCCAAUCUCCACCUGCCAAAAUGCCGACUCUGAAGACUUAGCUCCAGUGCCAUCUCCUCCAUGAAGACUUCCUUCAUGCUUCUUAGCUCUCUGCUGAGGUACAAGUGCACUUUGAAGACAUGCACUGAUCAAGCGCAUGAUAGCUGUGUACAACCCUUAUACUCCCUACUGGGCUGUGUCCGUAAUUUGCCAAGGUGGGGGAUGAUGAACUGUGUCUUAAUAUUUACCUGUCUAUCCCCUACACCACCUACCAAGAAAUGGUUAUUGCAUUUCUACCUCGGGUAAGAAACUGCUCAAAAGUGAAAUGAAUUGUGAUAUACUUGCUCACAAAUGGAGACACUGAAACAAGUACCCUGUAAUGUGAUCUGACUCUCAGGAUAAAACCAAUUCAUGAUAGAGCUCAAGGAAUGGGACAAGGGCAGGCAGUUUGGACUACAUAUUUUGGAGUCAAGAAAUCUGGGAUUGAGGUUCUGCUUUGCCAUUCGCUAGCUAUCUGCUUGACACCAGGUGGUUCUUCUUUGAGCAUCAUUUCCUUCCUUCUGCAUGGCCUCAUGGGAUUAAGAAUAAAAUGAGACACAGUUGUGAAUGCUACAUCAGUGAUUCUCAAUCCCAAUUAUGCAUCAUAAUCCCCUGUAAAGCUUCUGAAAAAUAUAGAGGACAAGGCCCCAGCCCAGGUAAAUUGAAUCAGAAUCCUGUGGAAAUGGGACGCAGUGGGACUAAUCAUUUAUAAAAUGCUGUUUCUAAUGCAUAGCCAAGGUUGGAAGCUACUGUUAUAAACUCAUAAGUACCAUUAACAGUAGAGCAAGGUGCUUUAGGCUGCUGGUUUAAUUAUCCUUUAUAUGUAAAGUUAGGAAUCAGUUCAAUGCUUUUAUAGUUCCAUUAAAAUACACUACUGUGUGCAAGCAUUUUUUGUAUUCUUCUGCAUUGUUGCAUGGUUAAGUUCUGAAAGAAUAAUAUCUAGCACCACUGUAUGUAAAGAUGUACCUAAGCCAAAUUUUUGAGAAAUAAAAACUUCAUAGAGUCCUCUGAAACCUUGCUAUUCAGAAGUGUGGUGACCAGACAAACAGAACUGGCAUAAACCAGGAACUUGUAAGAAAUGUAGAAUCUCAGACCCCACUCCGUACUCUCUAUAAAACGAGGUUCUUAAAUGUGUCAAUAGGUGAAGCAAAGGCAAUCUUUGCUCAGUUCACAUGUAUGUUUAGGGUCUGCCAUUCCCUGUCCUAAUUCUAACAGGGUAGGAGGGCAUGAAUCAUCAGAUUCUCUCUUCCACAAACCACUGAAGAUUGGGACUUUAUCCUGAUGCUUCUUUCUCUAAAAGGGUCCAUUUGGUAAAAACUAAAUUAAGAACAUAAAUCCUUACAAAAGGAUCUUUUCUUUCAAAGAAGACUAGUCUUCACAGGCUUUCUUCAAAUAACCAGUUCCUCUAAGACAUUGAAAAUAUAAUUCGGUGUUUAAAAUAAAUUCAUACCCGUUUUGUGUGCUGUGCAUAAAUAGCAAGUAUAUGUGUACCUUACCAAACUUAUGGUCCCCAGUCCCCAAAUUCCAAAAUUAUGCAGGAGGGAAGGUUAGCCAUUGCAGUAAACAAUUUCUCCCUAUUGACCCAUGCUCUCCAGCUGAUUAUGAUGUGGGCAGUACUCAUCCAAGGCUAUACAGACCAGCCGGGCGCGGUGGCUCAUGCCUGUAAUCCAGCACUUUGGGAGGCCGAGGCAGGUGGAUCACGAGGUCAGGAGAUCGUGACCAUCCUGGCUAACACGGUGAAACCCUGUCUCUCCUAAAAAAUAGAAAAAAUUAGCCAGGCGUGGUGGUGGGCGCCUGUAGUCCCAGCUACUCGGGAGGCUGAGGCAGGAGAAUGGCGUGAACCUGGGAGGUGGAGCUUGCAGUGAGCCAAGAUGGUGCCACUGUACUCCAGCCUAGGCGACAGAGUGAUACUCCGUCUCAAAAAAAAAAAAAAAAGACUAUACAGACCACACCAUAGCCAAGAAGUUGUAACAGACUUGGAACGUCAUCUAGCCCAACUCCCUUGUUCUGUGGACAGGAAACACUACACCAAGGGUUAAAAGGAGUUACCCACAUUCAUACGGCAACUUGACGGAGAGUUGAGCUUAGAAUUCAGGCCCUGACUCCAAGGCCUAUACCACUUAUGUGGACUCUGCCACAUAUACUCCUCCUUCCCCACCACAUGGCCUUGAACUCUCACUGUCAGAAACUGCUGAUCUGCCUUGGCACUUAAGUGUCACUUUGCUGCUUCCAGCUACUGCUGUCCCCAACACCCGGGGCUGUUUUUAACAAGAGGCUACAGGAGAAGCUAUACUGCAGCUCAGUCAAAAUAUCCAUUUAUCAAUCCAUAUUUCCGAAUAUGUUGGUAAUGGAUCCUCAAAAGGCCCAAUGCUAAUUAUGUAAUGCCAGCUACAAAGCAUUACUACUGGCUAGCACCAUGAGCAUGGUGAGGGAAGGGCCUUUCCUUUGGUAGCUAAAGACUAAAAGCAAGGGCAACUAUCAACUCAGUAGUACAAAGCUGGGAGGAAACUAGAGAGAGAAGAGAAAAACUGGAGCACAGCUGGGAAGGCAGCACCUUUAAAAAACAUACACAGUGUGACUAUAAAAUUGCAAGUCUUUUUUUUUUUUUUAAUAAAACCAACAUAACAGAAUGUAGAAAUCUAAACGAACAUUUCUUCCUCAAAGUAGUUACAUCCUUAGCUCCAACAAAACUACUAUUGUUGGAGACUUAUUUAGAACUCCUGUUUGAGGAAAGGCCUUAAAAGGUGGUUUAUGAGCCACAUUAGAAAAUACCCUUCUAAACUUUGGGCUGUUUAAAAACAGAAAAUCCAUACUCAGAGGAUGACACCGAGAAAAUUAAAAAGGUGCUGCAGCUCUCACGGAGGUUCCCUAAAGACCUCUAGCAAGUUCUGAGCAACAGCAUCACCAUUGGAGAAACGUGUAGCCUCCCAGGACAGCCACUUUCCAUGGGACGGCAUUCAUUUGGAUAGAAAAGUUCUGCUGUCUGUUUAAAAAGAAAAAAGAAAAAAAAAAAAAUCAGCCACACUCCUUUAUAGUCACACUUGCAUUUGAUUAAAAAAAAAAACAACAACAACAACACUCACACGUGGUUCUUGUAUGAAUUCUAAUUAAGAGACAUUAUAUUCAGAAUUAUAGCACUCAUAGUGAUAAUUUUCAGAAGAC